rnacentral:tRNA from 1 species
GGAGGGGUGGCAGAGUGGUCGAAUGCGCAUGAUUGGAAAUCAUGUGUUGGCGCAAGCCAACCGGGGGUUCGAAUCCCCCCCCCUCCGCCA